GACGAACGCUGGCGGCGUGCUUAACACAUGCAAGUCGAACGGAAAGGCCUGCUUUCCCUUGUGGAUUGCGGGUACUCGAGUGGCGAACGGGUGAGUAACACGUGAGUGAUCUGCCCCCAACUUGGGUAUAAGCCUGGGAAACUGGGUCUAAUUCCCGAUAGGACUGCAGGGUGGUGCCUGUGGUGGAAAACGAUUUUCUAGUGGUUGGGGAUGAGCUCGCGGCCUAUCAGCUUGUUGGUGGGGUAAUGGCCUACCAAGGCGGCGACGGGUAGCCGGCCUGGGAGGGUGGACGGCCACAUUGGGACUGAGAGACGGCCCAGACUCCUACGGGAGGCAGCAGUGGGGAAUAUUGCACAAUGGGCGGAAGCCUGAUGCAGCGACGCCGCGUGGGGGAUGACGGCCUUCGGGUUGUAAACUCCUUUCGACCGCGAGGAAGCCACCUGGUUGGAAGGGUGGUGACGGUAGCGUUAGAAGAAGCACCGGCUAACUACGUG
rnacentral:rRNA from 1 species